GCGAGCAGGCAGCAAGGCUCGCACACCUGGUGGGCUGCACCACCUGUGCCUUAAAGGGACAUUUGUCUGAGAGGAGAGGGUGGUGGCCCGCGAGAGGGGCCGAGGAGAAGCUGAAGCCUAAGUCUUCCCUCGGAGGCCCACGACCUCCUGACUCCAGCCUUUCCACUCGGCUCUAGAAGGCAAGAGCCUGCCCCUUCUGCUGUGGAAGAGGAUCCGAAACAUCUGUCUACACCUCUGUUUUCAAGGGAGGAUCCAAAACAUCUGUCUACACUGCUGUUUUCAAGGGGCUGACGAAGACUGGACCAGAUGAGCUCCAAGGUCGUUGCCAGCUCCAGAAGUUUUACAUUCCUAUAGACAAACAGAGACAGUUUCCAAAUUAUUAAAGAAAGAAAAACUCUGUGACAGAAUACAGCCUUAUGUCUUUAGACACAAAGGAACUCUCCUUGGAGACUUGGAGGUGAUCUCUGAGGAUCCUCGAGCAUUUCCCAAGGAAUUCUCGGAGCUGCAGAAAGCCCUCUGGCUUUCCCAUCUGCAUUGCCAAGGUGGUGUCCUGCCCGGAGGCCUGGGAGCCGGAAGGCAGCCUGUGACCGCUCGUCCGGUAUCGGAGCCUGCACCAGAGGCAGCUGCCCCUGCAGGUGGAGUACACGGGGCUCGGGCUCCUGAGCUCUACCUUAGCUCUUAGCAGAUGGCAUCGGGCUCACCGCCUCACUCUCUGACCCUCAGUCUCCUAUUUAAUAAGCUGCCCCUAAACAGGGUGAGAGCAGGGUUCAAAUAAGAUGAUGUGAUAUAGCACAAUACAGAGAAAAGAAAAAAUCUUUCAGUGUCAAACUCAGCAUCACGCUGGCUGUGUCACGUUGGCCCUCCCUGCAUCUCAGUCCCUCCGUGUAAAAUGGGGAUCAGGAAACCUACUUCAAACAAUGACCAAGUUAAGGUGAUUAAUGAACAUAAAGCACCUAGCACAGUGGCUGGGUCCGGCUGACACUCAUGCCAGCCAAGAGAAAAACAAAAGAGAACUUAGCCAGCAGAUGAGGAGCUGCUAGAACCUGGCUGGGAGAUAUCUCAAAUGCUUUGGAAAAAAACCUACCACAGGCUGACUGACUUCAGGUUUUCUUUGCCGAAAGGGAAAAACACGCAGAAAAAUGAUUUCUCUCUGCAUAACAAGAAAGUCUGUCAUUCAUAAGUGAAAUGGUGACCGCUCAGACAAACUGCAGUACUGCAUACCUGGAAUCUGAAAGAUGAUCUGCUUUCCUCCUGAAAUCCCCAAGAACCUGAAAAAGAUGCUGAAUCUCCAGAGUCCCUGACAGCUCUGAGGUGGUGAGUCGCCAGAGGUUUUGGUCUCCCCCCAACUAUCAUGAGCCCCCACUGUCGGUCACCUCAGCACCCUUUGGUUCAGUUUUCUCACUUGGAAAAUGGGGAUGUUGAACUUAGUAGCAAGCCAGAUACCAGGCUAAAGAAGCGGGUUGAAGGGACAGGGGCAAAAAGACACUUCUUUUCUGAAAGAGCUCACAAUUCAAUUUGAGAUACCAUCUGCCUUAGCCACCAGGCAGGGUGUUAGGAUAAUAGAGCAGGAUAAUAUAGUUGAGAGAUUAAAGCACUAUGUUAAUGUGACAGAGACUGCCAGCUGUCACUCAGUUUCCAUUCUCCCCUUUAUGUUAGUAACAGAACUCUAAUUUUACAGAGCAAUCAAGAGCCCAACUAAAACUUUACAUUUUCCUGGCUUCCUUGCAACUAAUGUAGCCACUGCCAACUGUUAAACAGUCAGAUGUAAGCCAAGUGUUCUGUGACCUUUCCAGGGAGUCCCCUUAAAAAGAGGAGGCAUGCUCUUUUUCUCCUCUUCCUCCAGCAUCUUCCUGGAAUGCAGAUGAGAUGAUUAGAGCACGUGCAGCCAUUUUGGGCCAUGAGAACAAGGGUAAUGGCAGAACGUGAGCCAAGUGGUAUCUGGGGCCCUUCGCUACUGUAUCAACGCUGUAUACAGCCAAUUGCUGCACUUUUGUGAUAAAAUAUUUAGAACAUAAAAUUUGCCAUUUUAACCAUUUUAAGUGUACCCUCAGUGGCAUUAAUUAUAUUCACAGUGUUGUUCAACCAUCAUCACUAUCUAUUUCCAAAAUUUUUCUUCACCCCAAAUGGAAACUCUGUACCCAGUAAAUAAAACACCCCACUCCCCAGCCUCUAGUAAACUGUUUUCUAUUUUCUGUCUCUAUGAAUUCGCCUGUUCUAGAUACUUCAUUUUAGUAGAAUCAUACAUUUGUCCUUUUGUGUCUGGCUCUUUUCACUUAGCAUAUUUUUCAAAGGUUCAUCCAUGUUGUAGCAUAUAUCAGAACUUCAUUCCUUUUUAUGGCUGAAUAAUAUUCCACUGUAUGUAUAUACCACAUUUUGUUUAUCCAUUCAUCUGUUGGACGCUUGGGCUAUUUCCACCUUUUGGCUACUGUGACUGAUGCUGCUGUGAGCACUGGCAUACAAGUAUCUGUUUGAGUCCCUGUUGCUGCAUUUCUCUUACCUGAGAGAGAUAAGUGCCUAAUUUAUUUAUGUAUAUAUGAGUGCAUGUCUGUGUAUAUUGUUCAUAAAUGAUGCCAAUUCUAACUG